rnacentral:lncRNA from 1 species
AAUAUUGGAUGGAUAACAUUUCUGAUUUGAGUGUGAAUGCGAUGAUGCUUGACUCCAAAGCAUCUGAACUUGACAAGGAAGAAAGACCUGAGAUACUUUCUCUGCUUCCACCCUAUGAAGGAAAAACAGUUUUGGAACUUGGAGCUGGUAUUGGCCGCUUCACUGGGGAAUUGGCACAGAAGGCCAGCCAAGUUGUGGCUCUGGACUUCAUUGAGAGUGCCAUAAAAAAGGUGACUGCGGUCCUCCAUAUUCACAAAGAGCUUUUUGUUUGUGCUUUGCUGAACUGGGCGUCUAAUGUUUUUUGCAAUAUUUCUGUUUGAGUUUUAUCUGAUUUUUUUUCCCAUCUGUCGAAUCUUCUGUUUGCAGAAUGAAAAUAUUAAUGGACACUAUAAGAAUGUCAAGUUUAUGUGCGCUGAUGUGAAAUCCCCAGAUCUGAAUUUUUCAGAGGGAUCGGUGGAUUUGAUAUUCUCAAAUUGGCUUCUCAUGUAUCUUUCCGACAAGGAGGUGAACAGACUUGAUCCUUAUUCCGGCUUGUCUUGCUUAAUUGUUGAUUUGCUUACAGAUUUGUUAGUAAUUCAUCUUAAGGCUUCUUGGAAUCAGUGGUCAGUGCUUUGAUGAUCUUAUUGGAGUCUGCCACAAACAUUUGAUGAAAGCUUGGUAUGAUUAUGACUGUUGUUGCAUCAAUCUUUAAGUGAAAUGCUCAUAAAUAUCAUGUGAUUUUUCCCUGGCCUUUUAUUUUCUCGAUGCCUUCAACUGUUUGUUUUAAAACAAUUAUGAGAAAUGCUUCCAAAUCUUCUUUUACAAGACGUUGCUCUUCUGGGACCAUAAAAAAGGUAACACUCCUUCACCCUUGUAAAUUAUGGAGAUAAUAGAAUGCAAAUAUCUUCUUAUUGACCUUUUGCAACGAAAAUGGUACUCCUAAUGCGGAUAAUCAUUACAUAUCGACAAUAAGAUCUGACCUCAUGGAUGUUUUCAUGUGUUUCGUCCAUGAAUUUUAUAAAGAAUAAGAUGGCAUCUCCACGCGCUACUGCGAGCUUAUAAAACAAAUAUAUUUGAUAGUAUUAUAAUUAUAAACUAGCGCUAAAUAAAUAAUAGAAACUAAAGAUAUGAUGGAGCAAAAUAUUUCAUGACGGAAAAAACAGUUGUGUUGGUGAUUAAAACUUAGAGACUGAACAAAAUAAUUUGUAACAAUCCACGGUGUUUUGGGAGGAAAUAUACAGUGUUUUCGCCACAUGAUUUAGCUUUUCUGUUAAUAAAAAAACAAAAAAAAAAUACAAAGCUAAAUACAAAGCUAAAUUCUCUACCAACUUAAUAUUAAAAAAAACCAACAAAAAUAAUUUUGAAAGGAAAAAAACCCAUGAGGAAAAACGUUGUAGCAAUUGACAAUGUUUUGUGAGAAAAACUACAGUGUUUUCCCCAAUAAAAUAAAAUAAAAAACCAUUUAGAGAAAUACUGUAGCAAUCCAUAAUAUUUUGUGAGAAAAGCUACAAUGUUUUCCCCAUAUGAUUUAGCUUUAUUGUAAUUAUAAUUCUUAACCAACUCGAUAUUAAAAAAAAAUGGACAAAGAUAAUUUUGGAAAAAAUCAUAAAAAAAUCAUAUGGAAAAACACUGCAACAAUUCAUAGUGUUUUAAAGAAAAAAAUUACAAAGUUAAAUUCUUAAUCAGCUCAAUAUUAAAAAAAUCAAAUCGACAGAGACAAUUUUAGAAAAACAAAUAACAAAAAAAACACCAAAAAAAGAGAAAAAAAUCAUGUUGGAAACACUGUAGCAAUUCACAAUGUUUUGUGAUGAAAACUACAGUGCUUUCCCAUAUGAUUUAUCCUUAUUUGUAAGGACUUGUAAUUGUAAUUCUCAACAAUGUUUUGUGAGGAAAGCUACAGUGCUUUCCCCACAUGAUUAAGGUCUAUUACAAAGUUAAAUUCUAACCAACUCAAUAUUAAAAAAAAAAUCGACGAAGAUAAUUUUGGAAAAAAAUAUUACAAAAAAAGAAAACACGAAAGAAACUGGAAAAAAACCAUGUGAGGAAAAACUUGUAUUUACUCGUAAUUACAAUUCUUAACCAGCUUAAUAUUUAAAAAAUAAAAUUGACAAAGACAACUUUAGGGAAAAACAUAACAAAACAGAAAAAAAAACCAUAUGGGAAAAAACACUGUAGCAAUCCACAGUAAUUUGCGAGGAAAGUUACAGUGCUUUCCUCACAUAUUGUAACUGUAAUUUUUAACCAACUCAAUAUUAAAAAAUAAAAUAAAAAAGAUAAUUUAGAAGAAAAUCAUAAAAAAACAAAAACAAAAACAAAACUAUGCGGAGAAACACUGUAGCAAUCAACAAUGUUUUAAAGAAAAAAAUUACAAAACUAAAUUCUCAAUCAGCUCAAUAUAAAAAAAAUCGACAAAUAUAAUUUUGAAAAAUAAAAAAAUAAAAUAGAAAAACUAUGUGGGAAAACACCGUAGCGAUCCACAGUAUUUUAAAGGAAAAAAAUUACAAAGCAAAAUUUUUAACCAACUCAAUAUUUAAAAAGUAAAAUCAACAAAGAUAAUUUUGAAAAAAAAUAAAAAAAUAAAUGAAAAAAAGGGGAAAAAAAAAAGGAAAGUUGGAAAAAAAAAAAGGAAAGUAAUUUUGGAAAAAAAAAAGAAAAAAGAAACAUAAAAAAAAUGAAAAAAAAAGAGAAAGUUGGAAAAAAAUGAAAAAUUGCAAAAACAAAUGUGAAAAAAAAAAAGAGGAAUGCACGGUGGAUUACUGUUGUAAUCCACAGUGCAUUUGGGUGUAGGGAAACAAUGAUUUCCCCACACCUUUUAGUUUUAUGUAUAAUAAACAUCUUUUAUGUAUUUUUUUUUCUUUCAAGAGAAGUAUUUUUUCUUAUAUAUGUUGUGAUAUAAUUCAUUCUAAUUCUCUAAAACUUUCCAUGUUUAUUUACAUUUUAUUCAAGCAUCUAAAAUUAAUCUAUGCAAUAUUUAUACUAAUGAAAUUUUCAAUUACGCUACGACAUUUCAAUCAAUAGUUCAAAUUAUAAUUCAAUUCUUUUAAAAAUCAUUCCCCCACAUACAAUACAUUAUUUCAAAAUAAUUUCACUCAAUUUCAUGCAAUUAUACAUCAUGAACCUAACUUUCCUCUUUGGCUGGUCACUUGGGUUUUUAAUAACCUUAUGUUUUUCUUCAUCAAUUCCACUAAAUUUAAUACCCAACACAAUAUAAUUUAACCAAAUUUGAUCAAUUCAUAGUCAAUUUGUAUUUUCCCCAAAAGGUUUCUAUAAACCCUAACCUAAAAUUCAUGAUUUCUACCUCAAAUAUUAUUCUAAUUGCAUGAAAUUGCUAAGGUAGAUCUAGAACUCCUUUCUAGAUGUUAUUCUGAAUCCUUUUUUUUUCCUUGUUGUCGUGAUUGUGCAACCCUUCGCCUUUGAUUAUUUUGCUUCUCUUUCCUUCAUAAUUAGGUGUUUAGAGGUGCGUGUAUGUGUUUCCUUUAAUUCCUCCCGAAAUCCCUUGAUUUUCUCUUGGUUUCUUUAAGAAUUUUGGUGAAAAAUUGAAAUUUUCCUCUUUCCUUUUUGUUUAUAGUUGUCGGGUUGAAGAUAAGAAAAUCCCCUCAUUUUAUACUCUUUUCUAGGGUAAUUUAUCAUUUUCCCCCUCCUUAAACAUAAUAUAAAUCCCCCUUUUUUUAUGUCAUACUGUUUUUUUUUGUCAUUUUCAAUUUCACUUUUGACAUAAUAAUUUAAUUUUCUAAAUUCUUAAUUUAACCUAAUUUUUAUUUUGGGUUUAAAUUUAUUUAUUGUUUUAAAUUUAGUCGGGAGUUUACAUUCUUCCCUCUUUUAAGAAAAAUUCAUCCUUGAAAUUUUAAAUUCCCAUACUUGUUUUCUCGAAUAAUUCUUUGUAUUUACUUUCAUUUCUAACGCUCUUUCCCAAGUGUCCUCGACUUGAGGACUCUUCCAUAUCACUUUCACCAUAGGAAUCUUCUUAUUCCUUAACUCUUUCUCACUUUGAUCUAGAAUCCUUAUAGGUUUUACAUCCAUAGUCAAGUCUUUUUUAACUUCCCACGAAACUUGCGGUAAUACUCUAGAGGGGUUUAUAUCAGCCUUUCGUAGCAACGAAACAUGAAAUAAAUCAUAUAUCUUAGCUAAAUAUGGAGGUAAGGCUAAUUUAUAUGCCACAUGUCCAAUUCUUUUCAUCACUUCAAAAGGUCCAAUAUAUCUUGGUUUUAGUUUUCCUUUUAGACUAAAUUGUAACGUAUGCUUCCAAGGAGCAACCCUUUAAAUACAUCAUAUCUCUAACAUUAAACUUGCUUCCAAGAAGCAGCCUUUUAAAUACAUCAUAUCUCUAACAUUAAACUUGCUUCCAAGGAGCAGCCUUUUAAAUACAUCAUAUCUCUAACAUUAAACUUAAAAGGUCUUCUUCUAAUAACUGCAUAAUUUUUCUGCUAGUCCUGGACAACCUUUAUCUCGUCACUUAUAUUUUUUUAUCUUUUCUAAAGUGAUUUAUACCAAUUCCAAUCUCAUCAACUUCUUAUCCCUAAUUUCUUCUCAGCAAACAGGGAUCCAACAUGUUAUACUAUAUAAAGCUUCGUAAGGAGUCAUCUUUAUGAUAGACUAGUAAUUUAGUUGUGUGCAUGGUUUUUUUCUUUGGAGAACUAAAAUAUUUUUUCUACAACUUUAAUGAAAAACACUAAACCCAUUUCUAGCAUAUAAACUUCUAAAAUCACAAUUACAACAACAUGUGGAAUAUGUCCUACUACUCUCGGUUUAGACCUUUCUUUGAUUUUUAUUCCAUAUAUAGAGGUUUAUAACUCCAAUUUAUGCAAGAUCCAUUUCAUUGAAAAAUUAACAUCCCUAGCUAUAACUUUAUUAAGAGAUAAAUUUUAAAUUUCAUCAUUUUCAUGUCUAAAAUUUCCCUAGAAAUCAAGGGACAAAGUUGUCACAUGUUUCAUCCAUGAAUCUUAUAAUCAAUAAAACAUCCUAUUUGUGUGUGUGUGUGUGUGUGUCUAUAUAUAUAUAUAUAUAUAUAUAUAUAUAUAUAUAUAUAUAUCAUUAAUUCCAAUUCCCUAAAACUCUUCAUGCUUAUUUAUAUUUUAUUCAAGCAUCUAAAAUCAAUCUAUGCAACAUUUAUAUUAACAAAAAAAUUUAUUACACUACGACAUUUCAAUCAAAAAUUCAAAUUAUCAUUCAAAUCUUUUGGAAAAUAUUUCCCCACAUAAAAUAUAUUAGUAUACAACAAUUUCACUCAAUUACAUGCAAUUAUACAUCAUGAACCUAACUUUUCUUUUUGGUCAGCCACUUGGGUUUUUCUUUAUCAUGAACCCAACAACUCAAUUACAUGCAAAAUAAAUUAUGUUUUUCUUCAUUAAUUCCACUAAAUUUAACAUCCAACAUAACCUAAUCUAACCAAACUUGAUCAAAUCAUAGUCAAUUUGUAUUUUCCCUAAAACUUUUCUAUAAACCCUAACCUAAAAUUCAUGAUUUCUAUCUCAAAUGUUAUUUGAAUUGAAUGAAAUUGCUAGAGUAAGUUUGGAACCCCUUCCGAGACAUUAUUCAAGUCUUUAAAUAUCAACCUAUCAAAAUUUUUCUAAAUUCUCUUUUUUUCCUUGCUACCGUGACUGUGCAACCCUUCUCCUUUGAUUAUUUUACUUAUCUUUCCUUCUUAAUUAGGUGUUUAGAGGUGUGUGUAUGUAUUUCCCUCAAUUCCUCCCUAAAUCCCUUGAUUUUCUCUUGGUUUCUUUAAGAAUUUUGGUGAAAAAAAUGAAAUUUUCCUCUCUUUCCCUUUUUGUUUACAGCUAUCGAGUUGAAGAAAAGAAAACUCACCCUCUUUUUAUGCUUUUUCUAGGUUAAUUUACCUUUUUACCCCUCCUUAAGCUUAAUAUGAACCCCCCCCUUUUAAUGUCAUAUUGGUUUUAUGUCUAUUUCAAUUUUACUUUUGACAUAAUAAUUUAAUUUUUCUAAAUCUUAAUUUAAUCCAUUUUUUAUUUACGGCUUAAAUUUAUUUAUUAUUUUAUUUUUAGCUGGGAGUUUACAAAUUUAAUCCAAUUAAUUCAUAAUUUAAGUAAUUUAGUCCAAUUAAAUUAGACAUUAAAUUUCAAUCCCAUAUCUUAUCUUUAGAGAGACGAGUGUGUAGAACUUAAUGAUAAAAUAGAAAAUCUUCCACUUAUAGGGGAUAUUGUUCAUUCUCAAUAACUCAUACAAUCAUUUAUCUUAUCUUGCAUCAGGAUCUUUUUAGUGAGGAAUACACGAGUGAGACUCAAAGGGAGAUCGAUUGUGAUAUCCACUCAUGUGGCUAGAACUUGUUGAUGAGUGCUCUUCAUUGUAGGAGCAGCUCCUUUGAAGGGUUGUAAUAUGAUUGUUCUCAUGCCUAUAUGUUUGCACGUCAUUCUAUAUUAUUCCUUUAAGGAACUAGAGUUAUAUAUACGCAUCCAGUGGUGCAUGCAAUGGUGUUAGGUUUUAUAUUUCUCUUUGAGGAAGUGGAAGGGUACAAAGUUGUUGUUUGUUGUUGUUGUUGUUGUAUAAUUAGAACAACAACAUUAAGUACUUUCACUUAAUAGGUAAUUUGUUGGAGAUUUAGAGGGGUUGUAGUACAUAUAGUAGAGAGAUUAGUUAUGUAAUACCAUAUAUUUUUUUAUCACUCAAUAUAACUCCCAACAUGUAUACGCAUGAAAAACAAGGUAAAUUAUUUUUUUUCUAUAUAUACCAUCAUUCAAUUUCGUCCAUAACAUAUAAAGGAUUAUCCUAUUUAUUUUAGUAGAAUCUUGGUAGAGUUUCCCUUGUUCGAGGCUCUACCUAAAAAAAAUUCAUUUAAAAAUAUAAAAUAAAUAUACUUUAAGGUCUAAUUCGUAUUAUUUAUAUAAGGAUUGAACAAGAAAAUUUAGAUUUUUAAUGAAAAAUCACAAACUGAUAAAUUUUACGCUAUCAUGUAUAACUUUCAAUUUGACUGUCAGAUCGGGCUGAGAUUUUGCAUAGAGUCUCCUGAUAUGUUAUACUACCUUAUGUUGGGAUUUUAGAUUUUAGAUCAAUUGAAGUUUGGAAAGACUUUGCAACUUAGGUUGGAAGCUGGGUAGUUUACGCGAAAAAUACAACGAACAUUAAAUAAAGGGAAAAUUGUGAAUAAAUAUAAAAUCAUCCUUUAAAGGCUAUUUCCAGCAGCGAUGGAUGUUUUUAGAGAGAGAAAGCUUCUCUCCUUCAUUUUUCUCAAAAUUUCCUUAGGAAAUUCAUUAAAAUGAAGGGAUUAAUUGAGAUAAUAGAAGAAAAGAGAAAAAUGAAGGGAUUUUUAGCUAGGGUUUGUGAGAAAAAGAGAGAGAAAGUUUUUCUUGGACAGAAAAAGAAGGAAAUCUUAGAGAAAAAUGAGAAAUAAUAGACUGACUUGGUUCAAAACCUUUGAUUUUUGUUUUGCUAAAAGAGGUAAAAAAAAAAAACCUUUUUUAAGGAUUAAUUAAAUUUUUAAAUAUGUUAUGUUGAAUUUGCUUUAUGUAAGUCAAGCUUUAAUGUGUUGGAUUGAUUAGAAAGAGGCUUUCGGUGUAGUAUUAUGUUCUUAGACAUGAAAAAAUAAUAGGUAAGGUGUGAAUUGUGAAAGAAAGUUUGAAAGGAAACUAUGACGUCACUUGGAACCGGGUUCGGCCUAAUAAUGAAAUAAUCGUGCUGUGAAAAGAACAAGUUAAUGAAUAUUGAGAAAUGCAAAGUAUGCAUUAGUUAUGAUACGAUAUAUUAGAAGACAAGAUUUAUAUGGGUGUUUAAUGUGAAAGGUUGAAACAUGAUGAUAAAAGGUGUAAUUGAAAUGGUAUAGACUUGGUAUGUUAGUGGAAGUGGAAAAAAACACUAAUUUAUAAAAUCAAAAUGUAUGUAUAUAUGAUGAAGUGAAAUUGUGUAUUUAUAAUAUGAACAUUGAAUUCCGGGAGUGAAAUAUCUCACUUAGUAGUCCAAAAUUGGGCUUUUUGAAUAGGUAAUAUUGUAUUUGGUAGUAAAAAUGAUCAUUUUGAAUGGAUAGUAUUAUAUUUGGUUGAACAAGUGACUAUAUAUAAAAGAAUGGAUAAUAAAAAUACAAUAUUAUGAUUUAUAUUUUGAUUUGAGAUAGAGGAAUUGUAUAAAUGUAAAUAUAAUAAGAUAUUGGGUAAAUUGUGAGGUAAGUAUGAAGGGUUUUAAGUUAGGAUAACCCAAAGAGAUAUGUAAGGUGUUAUGAUGAAUAUGAUUUUAGUUGAAGUGGAAUGAUGUGUUGGGUCUGUUACUAAGAAACAUGCGGAGAACUUGAUAUGUGAGGUUUAAGAGUAAUGCUUAAUUAGUCUAUCACUAAGUGGAGACUAACCGAUGGUUACCGACUACCGAUAUUAUUUGAUUAGUCUGUUAGGGUAUGGAGACUAAUGCCAUUAGUGGUUAUUGAUGAACGAUAUUAUUUGGUUAGUUUGUCAUAUUAUUGACACUAAUGACAUCAAUGGUAAGUAAUGACUCACAUUGUUUGAUUAGUCUAUUAUAGGUGGGCUAGGCCUUGAGGCUAACCCUUCGCUCUCUUUUUCUUUAUUUUUUUUACACUUCAAAGCUUUUUUACCAGAUUCACUUAUUGUUCAGUUUUAACAUAGUUUUCAAAAUAAUAUUAUAGAUUUUUAUUUAAAUCUUAAUAAUUUAAUUUUUAAUAAUUAUGUAUCUGAAUAUUACUAAUAAUAAAUUAUUUAUUAAAAUUCAAUUGAAAUAUGUGUUUUUUUUAAAAAAAAAUUAAAUGGAUUAUGAACAUAAUUUUAUCACACUUAUAACCUUCUUAUCUUUCAAAUAUGGACAUACUAUUUUGAUAUUUUUUGCUAACUUAUUUUAAAAUUUAUAAAAUAUUUUUUAAAACAAGAAAAAUAAUUCCAAUUAAAAAUAUAUUGUUUUCUAAGAUAAAUAAGAAAUACAUUAAUAGAAAAAUUAUCAUCAUGAAAAAAAAUUAAAAUGAUUUUAUUUCAAAGUUAAUGAAAUAUUUCAUGAGACACAUAUUUUUUUAAUUAUCAUCUCUAAUUUUUACUUAAUGAGAUGUUGAUGUCAUAUUAGUUCUACAAAACAACAAAUUUAUGAAAAAUAUUGAAAUUUGUUUUUUAUUUAUUCAAAGUAAUGGUCUCUGCAUAUUUUUCUAAGUUAUAUUUUUUAUAAAAAAAUACUGUUUUGGAAAAUGAAUUAAAUUCAAUAACAAUAUAUCCAAGUAUAAUUUUAAGAAAUAAAAGGAAAUAAAAUCAAAGUCCCGUGACCCCAAAUUUCAUGAGAAAAAGAUGAGUCAUAUACAUACAGUACAAAAAUGGCGGCAACGCACAGUAACAAAUCGUCGCCUUAUGUUGAAUCUUUAACAGCAGUAAUAUAGCGACAAAAGGAAACAGAAUAGAAAAAUAAUUGAUGGAAGGUGGGCCAUCGAAUUCACGUGGCAAGUGACCAUAGGCUCACGUGAAACCAUACCACUGCCAGAUUUGCUUCGAUCUCGAAGAAAAAAUAAUCCUAUUUUGGUAUAGAUUCUGAAGAAGUGGUCCUCAAUUUUUUAUGUUUAAAUUAUUUUUUUAUAUUUUUAAAUUAUUUUGAUAUGAUAAUUUCAGAAAUAAAUUUAAAAAAUAAAAAAAUAUUAUUUUAAUAUAUUUUUAAAUAAAAAAUAUUUUAAAAAAUAAUCUCUGUCGAAAUCAUAAAAAAUAAUUAUUAAUUAUCAAAUUAUUAACUUUUCAAAUUUAAAUUUUGAUGUGAAUAUUCAAAAAAAUUUAUUCUUUUAAAUAAAUAAAAUUAAGAUGUGAUUUCACAAUUAUGUAUAAAAUGAUUACAUAUUUUAUAAUCACAUAAAAGAUUUUUUUUAUUUUAUAUUUGAUAAUAACACAUCAUUAGAAAAGCAGAUAUAAAAAAACCGACAAAAAAAAAUGACUGUGGUAGGUGAGAUACUAAAAUAGUUAUAGUAGCGGUAUAAUACUGUAAUAAAGAAAUACCAAAAUAGUAUAGUAGCGGUAUAAUACGAUAAUAAAUAAAUAAAAAAUUAAACAUGCAGUUAACUCGGAAAAAAAAGGGGGCAAGGAGGAGGCAGCCACCUCUUCACCGUUUAUCUCUAUAAAAGCCCACACAUACCUAGGUAUCAGCACAUCCCAAACAGAGUAUCCUGAGCGAGAGAGAGAGAGUUUGAUUGCAGAGCAAAUAGGUGGUGAUGCAGCAGAAAGGCAGGGCUUGUAACCGUAGAUCCAGGAGCUUUUCAAGAUCUCGCAUUGCCGUUGAGGGUUGGUAGUUAGCGUUUUCAUCACCAUCAUCUCCUUUCAAAAUCUUUUCUUUUUGAGAGAGAUCCCCUUCCUUUUCUUCAUUAUCUCUCUGCCUUGUUCAACAAAGUUCCUUUCAACAAUGGCUGCUCAUGGUAAAAUGCCCUUCUUCUUUUUCUAAUGUUUUUUCAAGAAUCACUUCUUUUUAUUUUAUCCGAUUUCUUUGUUAGUCUUUCUGUCUUUGGAACUCCUUUUUUAGGAUAUUGUAGGUGUAUAUGUGCGUGCAUUGUGUUGAGAUUGGACUUAUAUUGGGUUUUUGUUUGUGGGUUUGAUAGUGGAAGAACGCGAGAUUCAAAAGAAGUAUUGGAUGGAUAACAUUUCUGAUUUGAGUGUGAAUGCGAUGAUGCUUGACUCCAAAGCAUCUGAACUUGACAAGGAAGAAAGACCUGAGAUACUUUCUCUGCUUCCACCAUAUGAAGGAAAAACAGUUUUGGAACUUGGAGCUGGUAUUGGCCGCUUCACUGGGGAAUUGGCACAGAAGGCCAGCCAAGUUGUGGCUCUGGACUUC